rnacentral:rRNA from 1 species
AUGAAGUCAUAUCUUAUUUGGCUCUUGAAAGAACAUGAUGUCCCAAGAUAUCGAACACAAAAUGCAUGGAGCAAAGAGGCUUGGAGAAGUAUUGUGAAUGCAUUCAAUAUAAAGUUUGGUUUAUCACUCACAGUAACACAGAUAAAACAAAAGGAGCAGGAUCUGAAGAAAGAUUUUAAAGCUAUACAAGACUUGAUAUCUGAAAGUGGUUUCGGUUGGGAUCGUGAUAGAAUGAUGGUGGUUGCUCCGGACAGUGUUUGGGAGGCAUUAAAGGCCCGUAAGAAAAAAGAUGCCCUCCGUUGGCAAGACAAGUCAUUCCCAUACUAUAAUGAUCUAUUUGCUCUAUAUGAUGGGCGCUAUGCUCAAGGAAGGAGUUGUCGUGGCAUGGAUUAUUAUGCAAACAAGGCCAGAGAACUCUCUCAGGUCACUACAUCAUAUUCGCAACAGUUGGAAGGUCCCGAGGAGCAUCAUCGCUCACCUACACCGAACUUACCUGCUCCUGUGGAAUCGUGCAUGCAUAUUGAUACUGAAGAGGACAAUGGAAGCACUAAUUGGUUCUGCACCGAUGAUCCAUUACACCUAGAAGCUGUGAACUCAACUCAAGUGAAAGAUUCUGCAUUACAUGUUCAAUCAGAAGAUGCAAUACCAACACCAUUUUCUUCAAAGCAAACCCCACAUAUGUCGAUGGAACUUCCAGAAGACAUACGUAGAAAUUGUCAACCAUCUCAUUCUGCUCGUGAGCUUACUAGUGCUAAGAGGGGGGAAGACAGAAGACUAAUUCUAGUAUUGAUGAUUUCCACGAGAGGUACCUGA